CGAAAUUCCGUAACCACCGAACUUUAAGCAUGAGGGACACUUUGAGAUAGCGGAACCCGGGCGUUGGUUGACCCGGGCGAAAGGGACCGAAAUAUAGUAGGGAAGUCCGUGAUGCUCGGAGGCGAGAAAAGCUCAUGUGUAUACUAAGGUGCCCGUACCGCAAACCGACACAGGUAGAUGAGGAGAGAAUCCUAAGGCCAACGGGAGAAGGGUUGUUAAGGAACUCGGCAAGAUGACCCCGUAACUUCGGAAGAAGGGGAGCCUCGAAAGAGGCCGCAGUGAAUAGGCCCAAGCAACUGUUUACCAAAAACACAGGUUUAUGCUAAAUCGAAAGAUGACGUAUAUGAGCUGACGCCUGCCCGGUGCCGGAAGGUUAAGAGGAGAUGUCAACCGCAAGGUGAAGCAUUGAAUAGAAGCCCCGGUAAACGGCGGCCGUAACGAUAACGGUCCUAAGGUAGCGAAAUUCCUUGUCAGGUAAGUUCUGACCCGCACGAAAGGCGUAAUGAUUUGGGCACUGUCUCAACAGCCCGCCCGGCGAAAUUGUAGUACUGGUGAAGAUGCCAGUUACCCGCAACUAGACGGAAAGACCCCAUGGAGCUUACUGCAGCUUAAUACUGGAAUUCGGUAAAUCAUGUACAGGAUAGGUGGGAGACAGGGAAGCAUUGGCGUCAGCCAGUGUGGAGUCGCUGGUGGGAUACCACUCUUGAUUUGCUGGGUUUCUAACCUGCGGCCGUGAAUCCGGUCGGGGGACACUGUUAGGCGGGCAGUUUGACUGGGGCGGUCGCCUCCAAAAGAGUAACGGAGGCGCUCAAAGGUUGGCUCAGCACGGACGGAAAUCGUGCAAUGAGUGUAAACGUAUAAGCCAGCCUAACUGCGAGACCGACGGGUCGAGCAGUAACGAAAGUUGGAGUUAGUGAUCCGGUGGUAUGUGAGUGGAAAUGCCAUCGCUCAACGGAUAAAAGCUACCCUGGGAUAACAGGCUGAUCUCCCCCAAGCGUCCACAGCGACGGGGAGGUUUGGCACCUCGAUGUCGGCUCGUCACAUCCUGGGGCUGUAUUCGGUCCCAAGGGUUCGGCUGUUCGCCGAUUAAAGUGGCACGCGAGCUGGGUUCAGAACGUCGUGAGACAGUUCGGUCCCUAUCUGUUGCGGGCGAAAGAGAUUUGAAGGGAGCUGUCCUUAGUACGAGAGGACCGGGAUGGACGUACCUCUGGUGCACCAGUUGUCCUGCCAAGGGCAUAGCUGGGUAGCUAUGUACGGACGAGAUAAACGCUGAAAGCAUCUAAGCGUGAAACUCCCCCUAAGAUGAGAUCUCUCAUCCUUCAUGGAGUAAGGGCCCAGGAAGACUACCUGGUUGAUAGGCAAGAGGUGGAAGCGCAGUAAUGUGUGUAGCUGACUUGUACUAAUAGCCCGAGGGCUUGAUC
rnacentral:rRNA from 1 species